AUACGUAGGGUGCAAGCGUUAAUCGGAAUUACUGGGCGUAAAGCGUGCGCAGGCGGUUUUGUAAGACAGUGGUGAAAUCCCCGGGCUCAACCUGGGAACUGCCAUUGUGACUGCAAGGCUGGAGUGCGGCAGAGGGGGAUGGAAUUCCGCGUGUAGAAGUGAAAUGCGUAGAUAUGCGGAGGAACACCGAUGGCGAAGGCAAUCCCCUUGGCCUGCUCUGACGCUCAUGCACGCAAGCGUGGGGAGCAAACAGGAUUAGAUACCCUGGUAGUCCACGCCCUAAACGAUGUCAACUGGUUGUUGGGGAUUUAUUUUCUCAGUAACGAAGCUAACGCGUGAAGUUGACCGCCUGGGGAGUACGGCCGCAAGGUUAAAACUCAAAGGAAUUGACGGGG
rnacentral:rRNA from 1 species